UACGACGGGGGCUAGCGUUGCUCGGAAUCACUGGGCGUAAAGGGCGCGUAGGCGGCCAUUCAAGUCAGAGGUGAAAGCCCAAGGCUCAACCUUGGAACUGCCUUUGAUACUGUUUGGCUUGAGACCGGUAGAGGUAAGUGGAACUGCGAGUGUAGAGGUGAAAUUCGUAGAUAUUCGCAAGAACACCAGUGGCGAAGGCGGCUUACUGGACCGGUUCUGACGCUGAGGCGCGAAAGCGUGGGGAGCAAACAGG
rnacentral:rRNA from 1 species